rnacentral:rRNA from 1 species
GAUGAACGCUGGCGGCGUACCUAAUACAUGCAAGUCGAGCGAACAGACGAGGAGCUUGCUCCUCUGACGUUAGCGGCGGACGGAUGAGUAACACGUGGAUAACCUACCUAUAAGACUGGGAUAACUUCGGGAAACCGGAGCUAAUACCGGAUAAUAUAUUGAACCGCAUGGUUCAAUAGUGAAAGACGGUUUUGCUGUCACUUAUAGAUGGAUCCGCGCCGCAUUAGCUAGUUGGUAAGGUAACGGCUUACCAAGGCGACGAUGCGUAGCCGACCUGAGAGGGUGAUCGGCCACACUGGAACUGAGACACGGUCCAGACUCCUACGGGAGGCAGCAGUAGGGAAUCUUCCGCAAUGGGCGAAAGCCUGACGGAGCAACGCCGCGUGAGUGAUGAAGGUCUUCGGAUCGUAAAACUCUGUUAUUAGGGAAGAACAAAUGUGUAAGUAACUAUGCACGUCUUGACGGUACCUAAUCAGAAAGCCACGGCUAACUACGUG